UCCCUGGUGGUCCAGUGGCUAAAACUCCUCCCUCCAAAGGCAGGGGUCCCAGGUUCGAUCCCUGGUCAGGGAA
rnacentral:tRNA from 1 species